UUUCUUCCCGCGCAUGCGUUAUAAAAGCGUACCGAGCAACAACGGAUCAACUCAUCAAGUCUGACCAGGCUUGCAAUUUUCAACCAUGUACCGCAAAGAAAAACCGUUAGUUUUGAAAAGUAGCGCUUCGUCUCUAAGUAACAAUCUUUCUGUGCUUGUUGCGCUAGAAAAGGGAGUUUUGAACUACGCUGUGGUUCACAAAGCUGUUGUGAACAUCAUUUCGGCAUCCACGGAUGGUUCGACUGUUAACAGCCGAAACAUUGUCUGCAAUGAUAUACUGGCAUGCUUUAGGAGAUGUAAACAGUACAGAUAUAUCAGAACAUGCCAAUUUUGGCAGAGGAAUCACUGGAAUAGGAGAAAACUUCAUUUGUAUUGGAACUCAACUUGGGGAGAUUCAUGUCUUCAAUGUACCAGCCAAAGGAACAAAUGUUACACAGAAGGAAAGUUUAGUAGGACAUAGAUACCCUAUUUGUGACUUGGCCUCCAGUGGAAACCAAAUGGUUAGCUCAGAUGAACAAGGAAACAUAAUCAUUUGGUCCCUUUCUGGGUCGUCAUUUAAACAGACCCAUUCCAUCAAUGGCUCAGGAUUUCCAUGUAGCACCAUCCUUAUGUGGAAAAAUGUGAUUGUUGCGGGCUUUGGGAAUGGUCAAAUCAGGUUAUACAGCGCAGAAACGGGAAAACUGGCUGCCCAGGUCAACGCUCACGCGCGAUGGGUCACAGCAUUAGACGUGGCCUCAGACAAUGGAAUGUUAUUAUCUGCGAGUGAAGAUUCUUAUGUCCGAGUUUGGCAGUUGAAGGAAGGCAACCAAAUGCCUGAGAUUGAGUAUGUAAACCAGGAGUGUGUGACAGACCAGCAGCUGGUGGGGGUUCAGUUCCUCCACCCCCAGGGUAAGGCCUUCUGUACCACGGGCUAUGACAGCUGUGACCUCUCCUUCUACGUCCAGAGUUGAUGCACCAUGGUAUAGCCUCCAUUGUUUAGAAUCACAAAAAGACUUUCACUUUAAUACAUAACUGCAACGCGUAGAGAUUAUAUUCCACAGAAGACUUGUGGCUGAGUUACAUUGUGAAUGUGAUCGUGUUUGUCGUUGGUUGGUCUGUCUGUCUGUCUGUCUGUUAAGCAUUUUCUUUAUCAGUGUUAACUGUUUGUUGUUGUAGUAAUCAGAUUUAAAUCUGUCUUUUAUUGUAACUGUUUAGUUCAUCAAAAGUGAUCUCCCUUGAGAAAAUGAAGUCUGGAUUUUUAUAAGAACAGGUGAAAGGAUUACUUCAUGUUAUGAAAUAGAAAUGAUUUUGAUUUGAUAUACAUGUACAUGUGAUAUGAAUAAAGUGAUUCAUGACUUUUCACAACAGGUAUGAAUUUUCAAACUGGUAUAUAGAAACUUAGAUAAAUAUGUUUGCCUAAUGUUAAUUUUCUGUGCAAUUAACAUAUAAAUUAAAAAUUUUGAAUUGCUUCUCCUCUUUGAUUUUACAUGUAAACCGGGUACUCUGUAGAUAAAAAAAAAUCUUUUUCUGAAACACAUGUACAAUGGGCAUUUUCAUCUUGUUGUAUGUCUUGCAUGUGUAUUAAGAACUAGUGCAUUUUAUAUACUUCUAUGUACUGUAACUUUAUAUGAUGAGAACAUACUUUCUUGUCUUUUGAAUUAUUGUGCAACAGAAAGUAAUCAUGUGUUCAAAGUUGUGUAUUGACUUUUUUUUACAUGCAGACAACCGUAAAUAAAUGUCAUAUGACUAUCUGUGACUGAUGCAUAUAUUACACAAUAGGCCCAAUGAUUUUAUUGUACAGUUGUUUUUUGGGGGUUGUAUAGUGCAGGAUCUGAUUCUUUUAGUGUAAAUGUGUACUGUCUGAGCAGGCCUUGCAGAGCAAGGUUUUUUUUUUCUUUUUUACUACAACCUGUUCAUUAUUGCAAUUAUCCUAUUUAUUAUAUUUUCUUAUUUAUAAUGCAUGAUAUCUUAAUUAAAUGCUAUUAAUGUCCAAUUUUUAGUUACAAAUUGUUUAAACCAUUGAUGAUGAUUGUGUAUGUAGUGAAUACUUUAUCAUUGAGAUGAACAUUAUCGUAAUAUUGUUAGUGACCAUGGUAAAUUAAAUUUCUACGUUC
rnacentral:misc_RNA from 1 species